rnacentral:rRNA from 1 species
AUUGAACGCUGGCGGCAUGCCUUACACAUGCAAGUCGAACGGCAGCGGGGACUUCGGUCCGCCGGCGAGUGGCGAACGGGUGAGUAAUGUAUCGGAACGUACCAUUGAGUGGGGGAUAACGUAGCGAAAGUUACGCUAAUACCGCAUAUUCUCUCCGGAGGAAAGCAGGGGACCGCAAGGCCUGGCGCUCUUUGAGCGGCCGAUAUCAGAUUAGCUAGUUGGUGGGGUAAAAGCUCACCAAGGCGACGAUCUGUAGCGGGUCUGAGAGGAUGAUCCGCCACACUGGAACUGAGACACGGUCCAGACUCCUACGGGAGGCAGAAGUGGGGAAUUUUGGACAAUGGGGGCAACCCUGAUCCAGCCAUGCCGCGUGAGUGAAGAAGGCCUUCGGGUUGUAAAGCUCUUUCGGCCGGGAAAAAAUCGCAUGGGUUAAUACCCUGUGUGGAUGAUGGUACCGGAAUAAGAAGCACCGGCUAACUACGUGCCAGCCGCCGCGGUAA